rnacentral:rRNA from 1 species
AGCAGCCGCGGUAAUUCCAGCUCCAAUAGCGUAUAUUAAAGUUGCUGCAGUUAAAAGCUCGUAGUUGAAUUUCGGGACCAUCAUGUCGGUCGUGCCUCGGUACGUACUGGUAUUGUUGGUUUCUCCCUUCUGACGAACCAUGAUGUCAUUUAUUUGGUGUUGUGGGGAAUCAGGACUGUUACUUUGAAAAAAUUAGAGUGUUUAAAGCAGGCUCACGCUUGAAUACAUUAGCAUGGAAUAAUGAAAUAGGACGUUUGAUUCUAUUUUGUUGGUUUCUAGGAUCGACGUAAUGAUUAAUAGGGAUAGUUGGGGGGCAUUAGUAUUCAAUUGUCAGAGGUGAAAUUCUUGGAUCGCCGUAAGACGAACAACUGCGAAAGCAUUUGCCAAGAAUGUUUUCAUUAAUCAAGAACGAAAGUUGGAGGUUCGAAGACGAUUAGAUACCGUCGUAGUCUUAACCAUAAACUAUGCCGACUAG